AGUGAACGCUGGCGGUAGGCCUAACACAUGCAAGUCGAACGGCAGCACAGUAAGAGCUUGCUCUUACGGGUGGCGAGUGGCGGACGGGUGAGGAAUACAUCGGAAUCUACUUUUUCGUGGGGGAUAACGUAGGGAAACUUACGCUAAUACCGCAUGCGACCUACGGGUGAAAGCAGGGGAUCUUCGGACCUUGCGCGAUUGAAUGAGCCGAUGUCGGAUUAGCUAGUUGGCGGGGUAAAGGCCCACCAAGGCGACGAUCCGUAGCUGGUCUGAGAGGGUGAUCAGCCACACUGGAACUGAGACACGGUCCAGACUCCUACGGGAGGCAGCAGUGGGGAAUAUUGGACAAUGGGCGCAAGCCUGAUCCAGCCAUACCGCGUGGGUGAAGAAGGCCUUCGGGUUGUAAAGCCCUUUUGUUGGGAAAGAAAAGCAGCAGGUUAAUACCCCGCUGUUCUGACGGUACCCAAAGAAUAAGCACCGGCUAACUUCGUG
rnacentral:rRNA from 1 species